AUACAGAGGGUGCGAGCGUUAAUCGGAAUUACUGGGCGUAAAGCGCGCGUAGGCGGCUUGGUCAGUCGGAUGUGAAAGCCCCGGGCUUAACCUGGGAAUUGCAUUCGAUACUGCCAGGCUGGAAUGUAGUAGAGGGUAGUGGAAUUCCGGGUGUAGCGGUGAAAUGCGUAGAUAUCCGGAGGAACAUCAGUGGCGAAGGCGACUACCUGGACUAACAUUGACGCUGAGGUGCGAAAGCGUGGGGAGCAAACAGGAUUAGAAACCCCAGUAGUCC
rnacentral:rRNA from 1 species